rnacentral:tRNA from 1 species
GCCCGGAUAGCUCAGUCGGUAGAGCAGGGAUUGAAAAUCCCCGUGUCCUUGGUUCUGAUUCCGAGUCCGGGCACCA